rnacentral:rRNA from 1 species
CAUGCAAGUCGAGCGGACGGAUGGGAGCUUGCUCCCUGAAGUCAGCGGCGGACGGGUGAGUAACACGUGGGCAACCUGCCUGUAAGACUGGGAUAACUUCGGGAAACCGGAGCUAAUACCGGAUAAUGCACAGCCUCUCAUGAGGCUAUGCUGAAAGAUGGUUUCGGCUAUCACUUACAGAUGGGCCCGCGGCGCAUUAGCUAGUUGGUGAGGUAACGGCUCACCAAGGCAACGAUGCGUAGCCGACCUGAGAGGGUGAUCGGCCACACUGGGACUGAGACACGGCCCAGACUCCUACGGGAGGCAGCAGUAGGGAAUCUUCCGCAAUGGACGAAAGUCUGACGGAGCAACGCCGCGUGAGUGAUGAAGGUUUUCGGAUCGUAAAACUCUGUUGUCAGGGAAGAACAAGUGCCGGAGUAACUGCCGGCACCUUGACGGUACCUGACCAGAAAGCCACGGCUAACUACGUGCCAGCAGCCGCGGUAAUACGUAGGUGGCAAGCGUUGUCCGGAAUUAUUGGGCGUAAAGCGCGCGCAGGCGGUCUCUUAAGUCUGAUGUGAAAGCCCACGGCUCAACCGUGGAGGGUCAUUGGAAACUGGGGGGACUUGAGUGCAGAAGAGGAAAGUGGAAUUCCACGUGUAGCGGUGAAAUGCGUAGAGAUGUGGAGGAACACCAGUGGCGAAGGCGACUUUCUGGUCUGUAACUGACGCUGAGGCGCGAAAGCGUGGGGAGCAAACAGGAUUAGAUACCCUGGUAGUCCACGCCGUAAACGAUGAGUGCUAAGUGUUAGAGGGUUUCCGCCCUUUAGUGCUGCAGCAAACGCAUUAAGCACUCCGCCUGGGGAGUACGGCCGCAAGGCUGAAACUCAAAGGAAUUUACA